UACGUAGGGUGCAAGCGUUAAUCGGAAUUACUGGGCGUAAAGCGUGCGCAGGCGGUUUUUGUAAGUCUGUCGUGAAAUCCCCCGGGCUCAACCUGGGAAUUGCGAUGGAGACUGCAAGGCUAGAAUCUGGCAGAGGGGGGGUAGAAUUCCACGUGUAGCAGUGAAAUGCGUAGAGAUGUGGAGGAACACCGAUGGCGAAGGCAGCCCCCCUGGGUCAAGAUUGACGCUCAUGCACGAAAGCGUGGGGAGCAAAACAGGG
rnacentral:rRNA from 1 species